rnacentral:RNase_P_RNA from 1 species
GUGAGACGGUGGAUGAAGCCUUUUUAAGGCAGGAAACUCCCUCCUCCAAAAUAGCCGUAGGUCCGAGAGGCCCCAUCCCGAAAGGGAUGCCGUCCAGAACAGAAACGAAACCUUUAGAAGUAAUUCUAAUGAGGAUGAAGAUCGUCUGACGAUGCUUCUAAAGGAUGAAACGGCUGGACGGUACGGUGGAGAAAGGAGUAUUUCCGAUUAGAUAAAUUUCAUCUAGAAACAGAAGGGGGGUUACUACCGUCUCAC